rnacentral:RNase_P_RNA from 1 species
CGAGCUGACCGGGCGGCCGCGGCAUCGGGAACGGCUGGGUGACCAGUACGCCCGGGUCGAGGAAAGUCCGGACUCCACAGGGCAGGGUGGUUGCUAACGGCAACCCGGGGUGACCCGCGGGAUCAGUGCCACAGAGAACAGACCGCCCGGGCUUCGGCCCGGGUAAGGGUGAAACGGUGCGGUAAGAGCGCACCAGCGCGGCGGGUGACCGCCGCGGCUCGGUAAACCCCACCCGGAGCAAGGUCGAAGGCGCCACCUCACGGUGGCGCUGCGCGCGUGUUCGAGGGCUGCUCGCCCGAGCGUGCGGGUGGACCGCUCGAGGCACCCGGCAACGGUGUGUCCAGAUGGAUGGUCGCCACCCCGGCGCAGCGAUGCGGCGGGGGACAGGAUCCGGCUUACACGUCAGCUCGUCCG